AGUUUACCUCUCAAAUAAUGAUCAAUUAGAAAGGCAUCUACAGUUCUAUACAUAAAGAAAAUUCAGGACAUUUAUUACAGACUUGCCACUUAGAUGCUUCUCAUAUCAAGAUGGCAACAGUAUUAGCCCAUCACAUCUAGACAUCAGCUGCACUUUUUUUUAUUCCUGAUAGAUGACCACUUCUUCGAGGUCAUGCUUACAAAUUAAAAAUGAACAGUUCUCACCAAAAGUGCAAAUAAAGCGGCUGCCAUAUGAAGCUUGCUUUCCAAAACAAAAGUCUUAUUACAGGAAUUUUACGUCCUGGUAUAGCCCCCAAAACUAAGCUACCACACAAUAAUUUAUUCAGCAUUGGUGUUAUGUUCUCAACAUAUGAUCCAACCAUUACAAGCCCUAAGGAAAUGAUUAACUAGCCAAAAAUCUAGGAACAUUAACAGCAAUUGCAUAUUCAAAAUUAUUUUUUAGAAAAAAAAGGCAAUAAUGAAAAAGCUUGAACCCAAUUACCUCAGCAGGUGAAAGAAAA
rnacentral:misc_RNA from 1 species